ACAACUGAAAUGAUAAGAUAAUUACAUACAUAGUAGAUAAGUAUGAAUUUUAAAUUACAAAGAAUCUGAUCAUGGCUUAAUCUAAAAUGCAAAACUGAUGUAAGAAACACUAUCAUUAGUAAAUGUUUGAAUUGGAGGCAAGUUACAGUGUUGGUUCUAGCUUGACAUGCAACUCGGUUGUUGUUGUGUGGCU